UAUAAGAACUUCCUUCCAUAAGAACCCCCUGGGCUGCUGGCCGCUCACCCUCCCCCCAGGUCAGCUCCUUACCUGUACACAGGGAGGAAAAGGCCUUCUAGCAAUAAGAAGCACAGUUUCACAUCAAACAUGUAAAAAUGAUCAAAAUCUCAUGGAAGAAAGGUAUCAAUUUUAAUCACUGAAAUGUUAACUUUUGAUAAAUAUGUAAGUUUAUAAGGAAAAAUAAAACCAUGCUACAGUUA